rnacentral:rRNA from 1 species
UACGGGGGGGGCAAGCGUUGUUCGGAAUUACUGGGCGUAAAGGGCUCGUAGGCGGCCAACUAAGUCGGACGUGAAAUCCCUCGGCUUAACCGGGGAACUGCUUCCGAUACUGGAUGGCUUGAGUGUGGGAGAGGGAUGCGGAAUUCCAGGUGUAGCGGUGAAAUGCGUAGAUAUCAGGAGGAACACCUGUGGUGUAGACAGCUUACUGGACCACUUCUGACGCUGAGACACGAAAGCGUGGGUAGCAAACAGG